rfam:Chlorocebus sabaeus isolate 1994-021 chromosome 2, whole genome shotgun sequence.
GCCGGGCAUGGUGGCUUAUGCCUGUAAUCCCAGCAUUUUGGGAGGCUGAGACGGGUGGAUCACCUGAGGUGGGGAGUUCCAGACCAGCCCAACCAACAUGGAGAAACCCCGUCUCUA